GUAAUUCCAGCUCCAAUAGCGUAUAUUAAAGUUGUUGAGGUUAAAAAGCUCGUAGUUGAACCUUGGGCCCAGCCGGCCGGUCCGCCUCACCGCGUGCACUGGCUCGGUUGGGCCUUUCCUUCUGGAGAACCGCAUGCCCUUCACUGGGUGUGUCGGGGAACCAGGACUUUUACUCUGAACAAAUUAGAUCGCUUAAAGAAGGCCUAUGCUCGAAUACAUUAGCAUGGAAUAAUAGAAUAGGACGUGUGGUUCUAUUUUGUUGGUUUCUAGGACCGCCGUAAUGAUUAAUAGGGACAGUCGGGGGCAUCAGUAUUCAAUUGUCAGAGGUGAAAUUCUUGGAUUUAUUGAAGACUAACUACUGCGAAAGCAUUUGCCAAGGAUGUUUUCAUUAAUCAGGAACGAAAGUUAGGGGAUCGAAGACGAUCAGAUAC
rnacentral:rRNA from 1 species